GGCACGGGGUGGGCGGCGGCAUGGAGCGGGCGUGACAGGGAGCUGCUCGCUUUAGGGUUCCGCUGAGACCCGGUGUCCCCUGCCCGGAGCCGUAGCCAGCGGCUGCCUUGGUGCUAGGCUUGAGUCUCGCUCCAAUAUAGAAAGCAGUGCGGCUGUUCUCUCCUGUUUUCCAGCGGCGGUGUAACCGACACAGCCCCGCUGUUAGCGCUUGUCGGUGUUUUGCCCGCGAUUCGUGUUGUGGGAUGCUGUCACAGGGAGCAGAGGGGAUGGAUUCAGCAGAGGAAGCUUGCGAGCAGUAAAGAUAAACAUUCAGCUUAAAUGGAUGUGAAAGUCACAGAAGUUAAGAGCCAGCAUUGGUGUCUCUGCCUUACUGUGGUUUGCCAUUAAGACAGGCGGUGGAUUUCUUCUGAGUCGCACAUAGCUGUUGGUGCUCGCAACACUUGUAAGUGGGAGCUCAGUUCUUCCCAAGGCUUUGCUUAGAGUCGGUGCUCUAGAUAUAAGUGGUUCUGCUGCAGAGCCUCCACUAGCAAUCCUGUUAGCAUGGGAGAGCAUUGUUCUGAAUUUUCUGCUCUGGGUGUCUGUGUUAACAGGUAUCUAAAGUCCACUCACAGUUGCUACAAGCAUGAGCUAUUAGGCAGGAAGCUUCUUCUGACCUGCCUGCCUUCAGCAGCUCACAUAAGCCUUCAUUCUCUGUCCAUGAUACUGACAGCUUCUCUGAAGAGGACCUCAGUUGCGGACGGCUACUGCAUGCACAGAGACUGCAUCCCUUCUUUGGAAGAGGUCCCUCUGGGUGUGCAGAUGCGCAGCAGGGCAUAUGUAUGGCCUAAGAACUCUGCUGGAAUGUACUCCAGCAGUGAUGUGAUGUGCUGUCAGUAAAACGUUACUCUGGGCAGUCACUCUCCUUUUGAAUCCUACUAUUAGGAGAGCUCUUUCCCAGCAUCUCAGAGGAGGGAGCAGAGCAGGAAAAGUGUGGGCUGCUCAGCAGUGGUCCAGCAGAGCCUGUUCUGUUCAGCCUUCUUUUGGCUGCACAGUCCUUUCUUGUACUGCUGUCCUUCUUCUGGGGGUAUGUGUUGUGUGCUUGCAACUGCGGCCAGGAUUCAGCUCACUUACCCGAUGCUCAGACAUCUGGAAGUGCUUGGUAGCCCACAGGGACUCACAGCAAUUAAAACUUGGAGGGGGAGAGGCAGCGUAAUCUCCACGCUGAUUUUUGAAACAGUGGCAGGAGAUGACAGCCAUCCCAUCAGGCCCUCAUGGUACAGCCCUCCAGAUAGAAGAUAGCACUUUUCUGAAUUUCUGGAAAUUCUGGAAAAACAUAAAUGCUAUGGAAGCUGGAGAUCUAGCAUGCAAUCCCUAGGCUAUCAGCUUUGUGUCAUUUGGGAACAAGAGGGAGCAGCCUUUCAAGUCUGAGUAGAGAUCCAGAAAAAACAUAUUUGUAGCAGACUGUUAUUUCUAGGAGUUAUUUUUGGUAUUUGUGUGUGUGUGUAUGCUUGCUUUUUGUUUAGCUUUGCUUGUUUGUUCAUUCUAUUUGAAAGUUCGUCCUGGAGAGGAGGAAAUGGAGAGCUCUGACUGCUCUUGGCCUUCAUUGUUGUCAGCAGGAAGGGAGGCAGCUGGGGAUGAAGCAUCUAGCGGAAGAGAGGAAUGCAUCUGUUGUUAGGUGCUCCCCUUCACCCACCCUUGCACUCCAUGCUUAGGGUGGGGUAAGAGGUUAGGAGACAGGACACAAAGAUGCAAGUGGGGGAAAAUGCUACUGUUCUGUCCUUUACUCCAUUCCUGCAACGGUUUGCCCAAACCUCACCUUGCAAGUAAAGUGAGUGACACUCAACACAGCCUUUUCUGCCUUGAAACGCAUCCUUUGUGAUGAUCGCAGGGAUCAGCCACAGGCACAUAGAAGACUCGGGAUCCUACUUCUUGUUUAACUGGGAUAGCAUCUCGUACCCAUUCUUUUGCCUUGUCUCCCUCUCUGUCCCACGUGUACCAGGUAUCCAGAGAGUUUGAAGGAAGUACACCUCCUGGAAGGGUCAGUCGCAUUGAUUUACUAUAGGCAACACCAUGUGGACAUAGUAAGCCCACUUAUUUAACUUUUCUUAAAUGCUGGUUGACUCUCUUGAACAGUCUAAUUUUAAGGCUUCAUUAAGUAUCUUCCUUCCAGAAGGAAGUAUUACAGAGCAAGCUUUCAUCUCUGCUGCGUGGCCACUUCUAUGUGUACCAAAGUUCAAUUUGAAUAGUAGUGUCCAACAAAAUUUCUCAGACAUUGAAAUGCACAGGAAGUGCCACUUGAAUACAUACGUUGGAUUUCACAGAGAUUUAUUUGCCGAGUAAAACAGCCUAUAAGCAGAGAACUCAGAAGGAAUUAUGUAAAGCUUAACAUACAAAACUCCACUUAAGAUGCAGAGAUUUCUCAACAACAGAUUUAUUUCCAAGGAGCUAGAAGUUCAUUAAAAUGCUAUUUGACAAAGCUGACAAAAUAUACAACUCCAGCUUGCCUACCACAGGGUUUUCUGUGCAACACUCUGCAGUUUCUGCUUGCUAUCCAACAGCUGGGAACGACUUGGGGAAUGAGCCAGUUCUUGGCUCUACAUAGUGUGCUUGACCUUGUCCUCGUGAUUCUUUUUCUGCUGCUUGUUUUCCAGACAUCCCUAGUCUGACGCCUGUGUCCUUUGUACAAAAAUAAUGAACCCAUGCAGAAAAAAGGAUUUCCGUAGCAGCCAGAAGUUCCAGUUGGUGGGCAAAGGAAGUCAGCUGAGAAGAGCUUGAGAGGAUGCAGGCAACCCUCUUUAUACUAGCACUUAGCAGUGGAAGCCAGUUGCCUCAGACACAACACAAUGCUGGGCUUCAGAGGAUGGUGUUUCUCAGGGAGUUGGUGCUGGUUUGGACCUCGCUGCAAAUGCUCCGUGGAGGUAAAAAUGCAGGGGCAGAUAACACAGAAUCACAGAAUGGCCACUUGGAAUGUCAGUUGACCUCAUCAGUGGCCUUGGUGCCCUAUAAAGCUGUAUCUGCUCUGCGGGUGGAUUGUAGCUGAGUUCUCACAAGUCGCUUUUAAAUCAAGAAACAUAAAUUUCUUCUGUUGGCGUGUUUCAUCCAAAUUCAACUGUUGAGAUUUUGUCAUCAGUAUUUUGAGGGUUUUAUUUGUUGUUUGAAGUUUUUUUUUUUUUUUUAAAUCUACUACCAGAGUAGAGCAGAAACAGAUGUGUUUGGGAAAAAAUGCUGGGAGGUGACACACUUUUGUCACCGACAUUGCCUCGUGUUCUCUUGAUACAACUGCAUUAAAUUCAAAAAGCUUCCAAGUCUCUUAGAUACCAGAGAUCACAGUUCAUAUUAGAUCACAUUCUGCAAACAACUCCUCAGGAUUUGUGCUUUUUAAUUAACAAGUGGCUUAGAUUUAGUCCUUUUCUACCAUUCUUAUUUUCCUGGGAUAUAAAGGACUUAAAAUAAUAGCUGCAUUUUAUGAGUUCUUUCUUCUUGCUGAUGAAAGAGGAUUAGGUAAGGUUUUGCUAAGAGGUUGGAAAAUGAACUAAAUCGCUUCAUUCUCAUGUGAAGCUGGUUUGGGUUUCUUUGGUGGGGGCCUUGCGGCAGUGGCCUGCUGCCCACUUUCUCACACCACAAAGACGAGCUUUGCAUUUGAGGGUGGAUCUUGCAAGCAUCGUCAUGCUGCAUCCACAGAUUGUGUGGCACAGCGUGUGCACAGUGUGGUUGCACAGGGGUUUUUUAGUGUGCUUUGGGGCACACAGUGAGGAUGUGAUGGGGUUUGGUGCGGUGCUUGCUUUUCCAGCACUCUGUACAUUGAGAUUUUGAGACAGUUACCAGGGCUGAAGUGUUGUGCUUGUAUUUGAAAAAUAAUCAGCGAUUAUGGUGGAUUUCUUUCCUGCUGUUGUAGUUGAAUGCCCUUAAUUCCUCCUUAAAAGGCGUUUAGUUGUUUGAGAAGUUUUGGGUUCACUGGAGUUUAACACACGUUAAGUUUUUAUGGUUACGGUGCUAAAAUCAUAAUAGGGAGUCUGUUUAGUGUAUUACUCAGCAGCUCAGCAUAUAAGCUGGUAUGCUUCUGGGAGAGCACCAGUAUGGCUGGGAGUGUGCAAUGCUUCCGCUGUCCAAGAGGAUCCCAUGUUUUACCUGUGUCUUCAUUCCUAAUCAUCACAGAAAACUAAAUAUCACCGGGAAGGAAUGAUUUCAGAUCAGCAAAUUCCUUCCCAUGUUUGUUUUUCUGCUGCUGGAAAGGCAUGCUGUGUUUAAAAAAAAUGCGUUUAAUCCGCUGUUGGACUGAAGCUCUUUGAGGUUCAUACUAAACAGGAGAUUAUCAAGUAACGAGUCUAAUCAGGUUGGACUUUUCAAAGCUCUGAGUGCUUUACCGUGAAUAAAUGCUGCCAUGCCUAAUUUCCACAUCUCCCAGCCCUCACAGUGCCUAACGAAAAGGCUUUUGGAAGGAGGUGAAAGUGAUUUCCUCUUCUUAUGCUAAGGUGGGCAUCUCCUUUGGGCUGGGCAUUCUGUUCUCAGAGCUCUUCCUGUAAUUCCUUGGACUCUUCAAGGCCUGGUACGAGGAGAGGGAGAAGUAAUAUCUGAAGGAGGUAAAAAAGGAUGCUUGUAGUCACCCAGGCACUCGGGGAAUGGGGAAGGACAGAAAAUGCUUAUACUUUCCAUCAGCUAUUGCCUCUCAGUGCUUUUUCCUGAGAAGGAGCAGCUAAGGGCGUGUGAGCUAGAACUAGCAAAUGCUGCUUACAGAAAGUUCCCCUUCUCCAUAUAAAGGAAUUUUGAAGGGAAAAUACUUUCCCAGCGACUCAAGAGGUUGUAGUCAGUCUGUUUUCAGGCUUGCAAGAGGUUGCAAGCUGUCUAGCUUUUACUUUGUUGUUGCAAAAUGAGUGUUCCCAGUCUGUAUCUUAUCCAGGGCUCCAGCAAAGCAGUGCAGCACUCAGGAGGGCUGGCUGAGAACCAGGCUGACGCCCACGCUUCGGUGUGUGGUACACUGCUUCAUUUUUUAGCUUUCGGAACUUCCCACACGCAUCCAAAUACCAGGGGCCUCAGUGCUUAGCCCCAGGCCCAUUUUUGUCUUCAGUGCCAAACCUGCAGCUCCUUUGAUUUUUAUCAGUGGAGUUGUUGCUUUGGUUGCUGGCGCAUGGUUUGUGCAUUAACAAAGUCUGGGUCCUUUUAUCUUAAAGAAUUCGAAUGUUUUGCUCAGAGAGGCAAAAGCAUGCAGGAAGAGGGAGUGUCUAGUUGGAUUCCCAGCGGAGGCUUGGGAAGGACAGCCAAGCCCACCAGCAUGCCUGAUCUUUGCUCUUUGACAAUUCAGUGCGAGGUUUUUGGUGCUGACGGUGGAAGAUCAAGAAUUUAAAAGGCUGAAUUGCUGUAUAUUGACUUCUAGACAUUAUGAAGUAUCUUUGAGGCUUCUCUGAAGGCCUUACUGCCUCGCAGAUUGUUCCUUGUGAGUUUGGAGUGGCCCUGUGGUCUGUGAGGCUUUGCUUCCCCUGUGACCAGGCACUUGCCCCUCAGUGGCUGUAGGAUUGUCCCUGCAUUUGUAAGGUGGGGACAGAGCAAGGGGCAGCUCUAGUGUGCUGAGUUCAGUUGUGGGCCCCACACAGCCAGAAAGACAUCUGUCGCCUGAAACACUGCAGGCCCCGAGCUGUGUCUGGAGCACAAGUCUUAUGGGAAGCAGCUGAGGGAGCUGGGGUUGCUCAACCUGGAGAAGAAGAGG